UACGUAGGGGGCAAGCGUUGUCCGGAAUCAUUGGGCGUAAAGAGCGUGUAGGCGGCCAGAAAAGUCCGCUGUGAAAACUCGAGGCUCAACUUCGAGCUGUCGGUGGAAACUUUCUGGCUAGAGUCCGGAAGAGGAGAAUGGAAUUCCUGGUGUAGCGGUGAAAUGUGUAGAGAUCGGGAGGAACACCGGUGGCGAAGGCGGGUCUCUGGGCAAUUCCUGACGCUGAGGCGCGAAAGCGUGGGGAGCAAACGGG
rnacentral:rRNA from 1 species